GGGAGCUGCUUUCCCCUUCUUGACUUCUCUUUGUUCUGACUUUCCUUGCCUAAGAAGGCUGAGGGAUAGAGGAUGAUGCCCUUUCCUCUACCCCAACCCUCUUCCUCUUUGGAGCAUGGGCUUACACUAGGGUUGAGUUUGCACCUGGAAGUUUGUUAGACAUCUCUAAUUUGUGCUUCAUUUAUUGAGAAGGUGAUAAAAUAUAGUUUUCAAGAUGGAUUUCAAGGUAGAAGCAGAUUGGCAGCAAGUAUCAGAGAGGAUCUAUUGAAAGACUGGUCCAAGCCAUUUCAACAAAGAACAUGUACUUGGAACUUUUUGGACAGUGCAGAUCUGAGGAUCAUCGAUUUAUAAUUGGAAGAAACCUUUAGAAGUCACCUAGUAGAUAAGAAAAACAGAGAGGUGAAGGAACUUGCCUACUGUCACACAUUUGAAAAGCCAAGAUUCUGCCCAGAUUCUUGACUCCAUUCAGCCAUGGAAACAUUUCGCAACUUUCCAUCAAGCACCUCUUUUCUCAUCUUGGUGGUAUAUGUCACUCUAGGAAAAAUCAAUGAAAACUCAUGGAGAUGAGGGUUUUUUGGA